rnacentral:rRNA from 1 species
UACGAAGGGGGGCUAGCGUUGCUCGGAAUGACUGGGCGUAAAGGGCGCGUAGGCGGCUUGCACCGUCAGAUGUGAAAUUCCUGGGCUUAACCUGGGGGCUGCAUUUGAUACGUGUGGGCUUGAGUGCGGAAGAGGGUCGUGGAAUUCCCAGUGUAGAGGUGAAAUUCGUAGAUAUUGGGAAGAACACCGGUGGCGAAGGCGGCGACCUGGUCCGUGACUGACGCUGAGGCGCGAAAGCUAGGGGAGCGAACGGG